CGUACGCCGUGCUGUCCAGUGAUAAAAGCUGUUGAGCGCAGCAGAGCUCGCAGAGUACUGUGGUGGACAACGUUUCUUUGUUCUCUGGCUUUCAAGUUUAAGGGGUGCUUGGACUAUCUUGCAUCGGUGGAUAUGAAAAUAGUGGUAACCUACCCUACGAAACAGCUAUUUGCACAUAAGCUUAACAGUUCCCUGUGAGAUGCUGUGAAAGUCAGCAGGGAAGUGCGAUGUAGAAGAAACGACUGCCAGAAGCUUGCUAAAGAACCGCACAACAUGUGUGAGCAGCAGACAAAAUAUUCAUCAAACGGUACAAAACUAGUAUUUUUGUGCUUUGUCGUUUUGAGACAUCCUUGGUAUUGUAUGGAGAACAGCGUGACUAUGUCAUUCCGUCUUACUUCACCCAAACAGCUAUCUGGUAGUAGUGCAAGAUUUGAGUUCCUAAAAGGUUUAUUCACUGAAGUCACCUCAGCGCCAUACUAUAGGUCCCUCAAUGUUUAGUCCUUGCAUUUGUUCUCUGCAUUAUGCUUUUUAGGUGACUAUUAACACCAAAAAAUAUGGAAAUUGCUUGGAUAUUCUACAAAUCACAGAGCAACAAGUUUUAAACACCAGAUAUGCGGUGAGUAUAAUAUGGGUAACAGCUUGACUGAAAUCUACAAUAGGGCCGAGAUCUACCAAGGCCGAUGGCAGCAAAUCUGCCUGCUAGCGACAGUGGCGGUCUCCUGCGGAUGACGUCAUGUGAAUAAACUUGUAUACUACUUGUACGUACUUAUAAUGUUUGACGUGGUGAUACAGGUUUUGCUUUGUAUUGUCUUUUAUAAUAUACACAGUGUUUAUUUUUAUCCUGUACAGAAUUUUUGCACCAAAGUUAUGAGAGCAGCACAGAUGUUGUUUUAGCGUAAUGCAGUGAUGGAAGUGCUGCGCCAAUCAUGGAGUGCUUAGCAGUCGCCUGCUCGACCAGCCACAGUGAGUCAUUGGAGGCAGUGCUGCAGCACCAACAAUCACUCAUUGGAAGAAAGGAAUGAGGUGGCCAUCAACACCCUGCUGCCAGUUCAACACUCCUCAGUCAAAACACAAGACGCCUGUUUGGCGGCAAAGUCAAUCCAGUUUUAGACAGAGUUUUGUACCGUAGACUUCGUGUGUGGUUUACUGCAAAUAAAUGUUUAUGCUGAGAUCCGUGUUGCUAUCAAUUAUAUCACAUUUCUGCAUGAAUGCAUGCCAAGACGGUAGCAGGACUAGUC